CGGGACGUGGCGCAGUUCGGUAGCGCACUAGUCUGGGGGACUAGGGGUCGCUGGUUCGAAUCCAGUCGUCCCGACCA
rnacentral:tRNA from 3 species